UGGGGGAUAUUGCACAAUGGGCGAAAGCCUGAUGCAGCGACGCCGCGUGGGGGAUGAAGGCUUUCGGGUUGUAAACCUCUUUCGCUAUCGAACAAGGCCCGCUUAGGGUGGGUUGAGGGUAGGUGGAGAAGAAGCGCCGGCUAACUACGUGCCAGCAGCCGCGGUAAUACGUAGGGCGCGAGCGUUGUCCGGAAUUAUUGGGCGUAAAGGGCUUGUAGGCGGCUUGUUGCGCCUGCUGUGAAAACGCGGGGCUUAACUUCGCGCGUGCAGUGGGUACGGGCAGGCUUGAGUGUGGUAGUGGUGACUGGAAUUCCAGGUGUAGCGGUGGAAUGCGAAGAUAUCUGGAGGAACACCGAUGGCGAAGGCAGGUCACUGGGCCAUUACUGACGCUGAGGAGCGAAAGCAUGGGUAGCGAACAGG
rnacentral:rRNA from 1 species